rnacentral:tRNA from 1 species
GGAGGGGUGGCCGAGAGGCUGAAGGCGACGGUUUGCUAAACCGUUAUACGGGUUUCCCCGUAUCGUGGGUUCGAAUCCCAUCCCCUCCGCCA